rnacentral:rRNA from 1 species
AGUGAACGCUGGCGGUAGGCCUAACACAUGCAAGUCGAACGGCAGCACAGUAAGAGCUUGCUCUUACGGGUGGCGAGUGGCGGACGGGUGAGGAAUACAUCGGAAUCUACUUUUUCGUGGGGGAUAACGUAGGGAAACUUACGCUAAUACCGCAUACGACCUACGGGUGAAAGCAGGGGAUCUUCGGACCUUGCGCGAUUGAAUGAGCCGAUGUCGGAUUAGCUAGUUGGCGGGGUAAAGGCCCACCAAGGCGACGAUCCGUAGCUGGUCUGAGAGGAUGAUCAGCCACACUAGAACUGAGACACGGUCCAGACUCCUACGGGAGGCAGCAGUGGGGAAUAUUGGACAAUGGGCGCAAGCCUGAUCCAGCCAUACCGCGUGGGUGAAGAAGGCCUUCGGGUUGUAAAGCCCUUUUGUUGGGAAAGAAAAGCAGCAGGUUAAUACCCCGCUGUUCUGACGGUACCCAAAGAAUAAACACCGGCUAACUUCGUG